rnacentral:rRNA from 1 species
UACGAGGGGGCAAGCGUUGUUCGGAAUUAUUGGGCGUAAAGCGUGCGCAGGCGGUUAUGUAAGACAGAUGUGAAAUGCCCGGGCUUAACCUGGGAACUGCAUUUGUGACUGCAUGGCUAGAGUGUGUCAGAGGGGGGUAGAAUUCCACGUGUAGCAGUGAAAUGCGUAGAUAUGUGGAGGAAUACCGAUGGCGAAGGCAGCCCCCUGGGAUAACACUGACGCUCAUGCACGAAAGCGUGGGGAGCAAACAGG